AUGGUUGCUAAUGUAUCACUGUGGUACACUUUUGGUGGAGGCUCCAAACUCAUCGUCAACACGGGUGUCGUGGUAAAGCCCUCCGUGUCUCUGCUCCCUCCGUCCCCUCUGCAGCUGUCUGAGGGAUCGGCCUCGCUGCUCUGCCUGCUGUCUGGCUACUCUCCACAGGGGGCGCUGGUGAGCUGGACAGUGGACGGCUCAGAGGUGAAGAACGGGGUUCUGACCAGCGCAGAAGAAGAGAAGAACAGCCGUUACAGCCGCAGCAGCACCCUGACCCUCAGCAAAGACCUCUGGGAAAAGGGGGAGGAGUUCAGCUGUAAGGUCUCCCAUAACAACAUCAAUCAUCCAGUCACGUUCAGAAAGAGUCAGUGUGAAGACUAG